AGCGUAGGCGGACUUUUAAGUGAGAUGUGAAAUACCCGGGCUCAACUUGGGUGCUGCAUUUCAAACUGGAAGUCUAGAGUGCAGGAGAGGAGAAUGGAAUUCCUAGUGUAGCGGUGAAAUGCGUAGAGAUUAGGAAGAACACCAGUGGCGAAGGCGAUUCUCUGGACUGUAACUGACGCUGAGGCUCGAAAGCGUGGGGAGCAAACAG
rnacentral:rRNA from 1 species